CUCCGGGUGACGCUGACCCCGGGGGGGCGCCUGCUCCUCUGUCCCCGUCCUGAGGAGGCAGCAGCGCUGGGGCAUUGCCUAAGCGCUGUGGAAUGCCGUGGUGUGAGUGCCCAGGGCCCCCGCACCUGGGGGAGGCAGAGUCCGGGCAGCUAGUGCCCACCCUGGUGCAGAGGCCUGGGAGUGUCGGCAGGAGGUUCUCAGUGUGGCCAGGAGCUCUUCCCGGGAUCCCAGGCCCCGCUGGGGCUGGGCGGUGGAGCCAGCAGGCCUGCGGGGGCGAGGCAGGGCCGGGCUGUGGGCGGGGUCCCCCACUGCAGCUUCCCCCAGAGAGCACAGGCCAGACAGCCCUAGGGGCCCCCGGCUGAGCGACAGGCCUCCUGGGGUCAGGCUCACAACAAAGGCCCUUGUGUGCACAUCCUGGGCCUGGCCCGGAGGACAGAGCCCCUUUCAAUGCAGGCCGUCUUCUCUGCCGUCACGGCCACCUCGGCCUCCAGGGUUGGGGCAACACUGAUGCGGCUGACGCAAGAGAGCGACUCAAACAGCCAGCAAGGCAGCAGUGGCCACAGGCCUGUCCCUGAUCUCAGCUCACCUGGUCUUAGCUCUGACCCAAAG
rnacentral:lncRNA from 1 species